CCUACGGGUGGCAGCAGUGGGGGAUAUUGCACAAUGAGGGAAACCCUGAUGUAGCGACGCCGCGUGUACGAAGACGGUCCUCUGGAUUGUAAACUACUGUCUCCGGGGACGAAAAUGACGGUACCUGGGGAGGAAGCUCCGGCUAACUACGUGCCAGCAGCCGCGGUAAUACGUAGGGAGCGAGCGUUGUCCGGAAUUACUGGGUGAAAAGGGAGCGUAGGCGGGGAUGCAAGUUGGGUGUUAAAUCUACCGGCUCAACUGGGAGUCGCACUCGAUACUGCAGCUCUUGAGUGAAGUAGAGGCAGGCGGAAUUCCUAGUGUAGCGGUGAAAUGCGUAGAUAUUAGGAGGAACACCAGUGGCGAAGGCGGCCUGCUGGGCUUUUACUGACGCUGAGGGUCGAAAGUGUGGGGAGCAAACAGGAUUAGAUACCCCUAUAGUC
rnacentral:rRNA from 1 species